rnacentral:rRNA from 1 species
ACUCAAAUGAAUAGACGGGGGCCCGCACAAGCAGUGGAGUAUGUGGUUUAAUUCGAAGCAACGCGAAGAACCUUACCGGGGCUUGACAUGUAGACGAUCGGUGUAGAGAUACACCCUCCCUUCGGGGCGUCUUCACAGGUGGUGCAUGGUUGUCGUCAGCUCGUGUCGUGAGAUGUUGGGUUAAGUCCCGCAACGAGCGCAACCCUUAUCAUUAGUUGCUACGAAAGAGCACUCUAAUGAGACUGCCGUUUUAAAACGGAGGAAGGUGGGGAUGACGUCAAAUCAUCAUGCCCUUUAUGUCCCGGGCUACACACGUACUACAAUGGCAUUUAACAAUGAGUCGCGAACCCGCGAGGGGAAGCUAAUCUCCAAAAAGUGCCUCAGUUCAGAUUGCAGGCUGCAACUCGCCUGCAUGAAGUCGGAAUUGCUAGUAAUCGUGAAUCAGCAUGUCACGGUGAAUACGUUCCCGGGCCUUGUACACACCGCCCGU